rnacentral:lncRNA from 1 species
GUUAGAAAUUCGGAACACACUCCUGGCCUGCCGAACCGUCACUAGCUGAGAAGAGAUUGGAUUGACAGACGUCGUCAUUUAUGAAAUGUCAAGCAUUUAUGAAACUUUUAUUUUCACUUAUUUGUAGAAAUAAUCAUAGAUUGGGAAUAUUGACAUUAAAUGUCGUUUCUUUAUUCUAGAGCAACACAGCUGUCCUUAUUCCUAUAAAUAUCAUUACA